rnacentral:lncRNA from 1 species
UAUACACCAUGUUGGUGGAAAUUGCAGUUACUUUAGUGCUAAUUGCUCUAUUCAUACACUUCCGACCAACACCAACAGCUAAAUCAAAAGCUCUUCGACACCUUCCCAAUCCACCAAGUCCCAAACCUCGUCUUCCUUUUGUUGGUCAUCUUCACCUUUUAGAUCACCCUCUUCUUCACCAAUCUCUCAUUCGUUUAGGAGAACGUUAUGGCCCUUUAUACUCUCUUUAUUUUGGUUCCAUGCCUACUAUUGUUGCCUCCACCCCUGACUUGUUUAAACUCUUUCUUCAAACACAUGAAGCUGUUUCCUUCAACACAAGGUUUCAAACCUCUGCCAUAAGACGUUUGACUUAUGACAACUCUGUUGCUAUGGUUCCUUUUGCACCUUACUGGAAAUUUAUUAGGAAGCUUAUCAUGAAUGAUCUUCUUAAUGCUACCACUGUCAACAAGUUGAGACCUUUGAGGAGCCAAGAAAUUCGUAAGGUUCUUAAUGUUAUGGCUAAAAGUGCUCAAACUCAAGAGCCACUUAAUGUGACAGAGGAACUUUUGAAAUGGACAAAUAGCACUAUUUCUAGGAUGAUGUUGGGUGAGGCUGAAGAAAUUAGAGAUAUUGCUCGUGAUGUUCUUAAGAUUUUUGGGGAGUAUAGUCUUACUGACUUCAUUUGGCCUUUGAAAAAGCUUAAGGUUGGGAAAUAUGAGAAGAAGAUUGAGGAAAUUUUUAACAGGUUUGACCCUGUCAUUGAAAAGGUCAUCAAGAAAAGACAAGAUGUUAGGAGAAGAAGAAAGGAGAGAAAUGGUGAACUUGAAGAGGGUGAGCAGAGUGUUGUUUUUCUUGAUACUUUGCUUGAUUUUGCUGAGGAUGAGACCAUGGAGAUCAAAAUUACCAAGGAACAAAUCAAGGGUCUUGUUGUGGUAACUUUCUUUUCUUCAAUUCUAAUUGCUUCGUUUCAUCUUUUAGAUUUUAAAUGAGAUUAGAUUGGUUGAGUCAAUUAUACUAAACUAAAUGAUUUGGUAUGCAGGAUUUCUUCUCUGCAGGAACAGAUUCAACCGCUGUGGCAACAGAUUGGUGUUUAUCAGAGCUGAUCAACAACCCAAGAGUGAUGAAGAAAGCUCGAGAGGAGGUUGACUCUGUUGUUGGAAAAGAUAGACUAGUCGACGAAUCAGAUAUUCAAAAUCUUCCAUACAUUAGAGCCGUCGUGAAAGAGACAUUCCGCAUGCACCCACCACUACCUGUUGUGAAAAGAAAAUGUACAGAAGAGUGUGAGAUUAAUGGGUAUGUAAUCCCAGAAGGAGCACUUGUACUUUUCAAUGUUUGGGCAGUUGGAAGAGAUCCAAAAUACUGGGAUAGACCAUUGGAAUUCCGUCCAGAGAGGUUCUUGGAAAAUGCAGGUGAAGGUGAUGCAGGUUCAAUUGAUCUUAGGGGUCAACAUUUUCAACUUCUACCAUUUGGGUCUGGAAGGAGAAUGUGUCCUGGAGUCAAUUUGGCUACUGCUGGAAUGGCUACACUCCUUUCAUCUGUACUUCAGUGCUUUGAAUUACAGGUAGCAGGACCAAAUGGACAAAUAUUGAAAGGUGCUGAUGCUAAGGUUAGCAUGGAUGAAAGACCUGGUCUCACUGUUCCAAGAGCACAUAAUCUCGUUUGUGUUCCACUUGCAAGACCUGGUGCUGCUGCUAAACUCCUUUCCUCCUAAAACAUACAUUCAAACACUUAAUUCGUCCAUGUCCGUUUAUAAACUAAAUAAUCAUUUUCAAUAAGGUAUCAUUGAGAGAGUCCACAAUGUGUGCUAGUGAUGGUACAUGGGCUUAAAGACGUAUUUAUGUAUAUCAUCUCAAUUUGUCUCUCUUGAUACUAUGAUUGUAAUUUUUAUAUUUUUGUUUUUUUGUUUAUGUCACGAAAGAAGUGUUGCUGUAACCGUUUACAAAAUCUAUAAUUUUGUGCCUCUUUGUUGAAUUUUUGUUAUUUAUAUUUUUGUAACGACCCAUUCACCUUCACCAAGAAAGCAAAAUAAUUUAAUCAACAAGGAAAUGUGGAUGCAUUCCACUAAAAGGACAUCCUCUGUAGCCUCAACACUCAUACGGGCAAAUUCAACGAUCUUUACUCUAAUAGUAAUCUCUAAGGUUUCUUUCUUUCUUAUAAUAAUUUUGAGAGGUUAGAUUUCAAUAUAGAAUUGAUACACCACAAAUAUUAUUGGCAUAACUCAAUACCUCCAAACUUUCAACUUUCAUCUUAAUUUUCAUGUUAUAUUUAUGUUGAUAUAAAUUCCUAACAAAAUUUGAUUUUUAGGUUUACCGUUAUGUUUUACAAUAAGAGCUCCAAAUUUGGCUGAAAAAACUAGAAGUUGUAAUAGUUUUUAGCUAAAUCAUAAGUUAUUCAUGAAUUUCACUUUGAUUUUUUAAAUUUUGUUUGUUUCAUUUCAAUCUAUUAAAUUACAAAUAAUCAGAUAUUUUAUUUUAUUUUAAUCUCUUAAAUAAUAAAUUAAAUAUUUUGAUCUUUUAAAUUACAUAUUUUGGUCCUUUUUAAUAGUGUUUAAUAUUGUAACUUAUUGGACUAAAGUGUUUAUUUUUUGAAACUUAAGAAGUUAAAAUCUUUAAUGUUUAUAACAUAUGAAACUAAAAUGUAAGGAAAAAUACUUGAGGGGCUAUAUUGUUUGACAUUUGUAACUUUCUGAGACUAAAAUAAAAAAAUAAAAAAAUUCAAGAGAGCAAAAGUAUAAUUUAGCUUAAUUUUUUAUGUUGUGAAGGAACGUUCUAAUGAGUUAAAGCUUAUAGCAAUAAACUUAGAUAAUUUGUUCUAUCGGUAGAAAGACCAAUAUGAGAUUCAAAUGCUUGAGGUUUGAAUUUGGCUAGUGCCUUUGGGAAAACUAUAUGUAAAUUCAUUUGUAAGUUCUUUGAACUCGAAAGUAUUCCCUAUUAUUAGGAUCGUCAAACAAUCUGUGCAACAAAAAUAUUGGCAUAGGGAUCCAAAUUAAGGGGACCUCAAUUUUUAUUUUUAUAAUAUACCUUAACAUUUGAAAAAUUACAUUUAUAUUCUUAAUUUUAUACAUUGAACAUUGUAAAAUUUCAUAUUUGCACCUUAUGUUUAGAAUAAAUAGUCAGUUUCCCACCACUGAGUCUCUGACAUCGACUGCAGUCUAUCAAACGCUAUCACCCACCAUCAGAUGUUAUUAUUUUGUGAAUUUACGAGCUCAAUUUUUAGAUUCGAAUAGAGUCUCUAAAAACAUUUAGAUGAUCGUGUCUACUAUAGACUGGAGCUCAUUCUUUCACCCUAAAAUUCUCAUAACAAAAAUAAAAAAUUGUAGGAUCACAUUUUAGGUUUGGCUAAAUAAUUAGGGGUGUUCACAUCAUAAUUGAUAAAAUAAAAUAAAAAAAUCAAAAACCGCAUAAUAUCGAAUAUUAUUAGAUGUGUUUAGAUCGCCUUUUGUGAAAAUUGCUCAAAUCGGAUCAAUUUUCAGAUUCCUUUUACAAAUUUAAACCAAACUGAAUCAAACCGCACAUAUAAAUUUUAAUACUUUUUUUUAUCAGUUUAAUAUGUUUUAUUACUAUUUCAUAUGUUUCAAAUUUAAUCGAUGAAUGGUCUUUCAUAAUAUUAAUUUUCAAUAUAUCAUAUCCUAUAUUUUUCAAACUUGCUACUUUAAGAUAAUUUUAUAAUAUUAGUAUUACAAUAACUUUAUGCAAUUAUUUUAAUAGUAUAAACAAUUGGAUUAUAUAAAAUAAAAGUCUUAAAUUUUAAAAAUGUUAAUCUGAUUAAAUCGAACUAAAUCAACAUGUUUUUCAUUAAUUUGAUUAGAAAAUUAUGAGAAAAAUAAUGAACUAAAACUAAAAUUUUAAUAUACAAUAAAAUAUUAUAUUUAAUUUAUCAAUUAAAAUUUUAAAAAUUUAGUACUCCAAAGAUUUUGUUCAAGUUUCGCUAAGAUACCAGAAUCAUGUCCAAAAAAGUUAAGAAAACUUAUUUUUUCACUUUUAAAUUUUUUUAAAAUUUCUAAAUUUAACCCAAAUUGAUUAUUACAUAAAUGUAUUUUAUAUUUAUCUGAUCAAUUUAAAUGUUUAUUUUUAUAUAUUUGAAAAUAUAAGUAUAAGAAGAAACACCCAAAAGUUAAAUAGAACAUAUGUUUGGAUGCAAUGUUCCUUCCUACCGCAGCCAAAUUGUCUUGUGUGUCUCAAAGGUUCGCAUGUAUUUGACUGGAAAAAUAUUUUAGAAUAAAUGCAGCGCCCUCUCUGAUGGACUAGAAAAGUAGUAGUAGUGGUAGGUGAUACUUGCACAUCAUUUAAAAAUAAAUGUCAUUUCAAUUAUUUCUUUAAUUUUAAUGUUUUUAUAAUUUACUAUUUAUUCAUAAUAUUAGAAACGGUAUCAAUAAUGGGCGACUUAUUUAAAAAAAAUAUAUAAAUUUUUAAAUAAUGUAAUUUUUCUUUUAUUAUAAUAAUCAAUGACACGUGAUUUGGUCAAAUGCAUAAAUAUUUUGCUAAUUCUUAUUAUAUUGAAAAAAUUGUGACAGCUAUUUUGAUUGAUGAGAAAAAUUAAAGUAUAUUUUAACCCUUAAUAAAAAACAGUGACAAUUUAAUCCUUUCACAGUUGACUUGUAAACUGUACAUGAGCGGCCAUAUAGAAAAUCUAGUCCAAAGAUGGGGCUUAUAAAAGGGAAUAAUAGCAAAGCUUUUCUCUCAGCCAAAACAUAAAUCCUAUUUGACUUAAACUCAUCAUAGUAACAACUGUUGUUUCUACUUAUUAGUUGACUCAACAAGUUAAUUACACUAUCAAAUAAGCAAUACCAUGUUGGUGGAACUUGCAAUCACUUUAUUGCUUAUUGCUCUGUUUUUACACUUGCGACCAACACCAACAGCUAAAUCAAAAGCUCUUCGACACCUUCCCAAUCCACCAAGUCCCAAACCUCGUCUUCCUUUUGUUGGUCACCUUUACCUUCUGGAUAACCCUCUUCUUCACUACUCUCUCAUUCGUCUGGGAGAACGUUACGGGCCUUUGUAUUCUCUCUACUUUGGUUCCAUGCCUACUGUUGUUGCCUC